rnacentral:misc_RNA from 1 species
GAUGAAGAACGUAGCGAAAUGCGAUAAGUAAUGUGAAUUGCAGAAUUCAGUGAAUCAUCGAAUCUUUGAACGCACAUUGCGCCCUCUGGUAUUCCGGAGGGCAUGCCUGUUCGAGCGUCAUUUCACCACUCAAGCCUGGCUUGGUGUUGGGCGACGUCCCCUUUGGGGACGCGCCUCGAAACGCUCGGCGGCGUGGCACCGGCUUUAAGCGUAGCAGAAUCUUUCGCUUUGGAAGUCGGGGCCCCGUCUGCCGGAAGACCUACUCGCAAGGUUGACCUCGGAUCAGGCAGGGAUACCCGCUGAACUUAAGCAUAUCAAUAAGCGGAGGA